UACAGAGGUCCCGAGCGUUGUUCGGAUUCAUUGGGCGUAAAGGGUGCGUAGGUGGCGCUGUAAGUGGGGUGUGAAAUCCCGGGGCUUAACUCCGGAACUGCAUUCCAUACUGCGGUGCUUGAGGACUGGAGAGGAGACUGGAAUUUACGGUGUAGCAGCGAAAUGCGUAGAGAUCGUAAGGAAGACCAGUGGCGAAGGCGGGUCUCUGGACAGUUCCUGACACUGAGGCACGAAGGCCAGGGGAGCAAACGGG
rnacentral:rRNA from 1 species